rnacentral:rRNA from 1 species
AUACGUGGGUGACAAGCGUUAUCAGGAUUUACUGGGCGUAAAGGGCGUGUAGGCGGUAUUGCCAGUCAGAAGUGAAAUUCCUGGGAUCAACUCGGGCGCUGCUUCUGAAACUGCAGGACUUGAGUGCUGGAUGGGAUAGCGGAAUCCCUAGGGGAGCGGUAAAAUGCGCAGAUAUUAGGAAGAACACCGGUGGCGAAGGCGGCUAUCUGAACAGUAACUGACGCUGAGGCGCGAAAGCGUGGGGAGCAACCAGGAUUAGAUGCCCUGGUAGUCCACGCCGUAAACGAUGAAUACUAGGUGUAGGGGGUAUCGACUCCCUCUGUGCCGCAGUUAACACAAUAAGUAUUCCGCCUGGGGAGUCCGGCCGCAAGGUGGAAACUCAAAGGAAUUGACGGGG